rnacentral:rRNA from 1 species
GAACCCUGGCGGCGUGCAUAACACAUGCAAGUCAAGGGGGCCAGCAAUGGCAACCGGCGAACGGGUGCGUAACACGUAAGCGACCUACCUCGAUGUGGGGCAUAGCCGGCCUAACGGCCGGGUAAUUCCGCAUACGAUCCCUGGGAGGCAUCUCUCGGGGAUGAAACCAGCAAUGGGCAUUGAGAGGGGCUUGCGGCCUAUCAGCUAGUUGGUGAGGUAACGGCUCACCAAGGCUACGACGGGUAGCUGGUCUGAGAGGAUGGCCAGCCACAUUGGGACUGAGAAACGGCCCAGACUCCUACGGGAGGCAGCAGUGGGGAAUCUUGCGCAAUGGCCUAACGGCUGACGCAGCGACGCCGCGUGAGGGAUGACGCUCUUCGGAGUGUAAACCUCUGUUGCCCGGGACGAAUAGCGGAUUAUUCCGACUUGACGGUACCGGGUGAGGAAGCACCGGCUAACUCCGUGCCAGCAGCCGCGGUAAUACGGGGGGUGCGAGCGUUGUCCGGAAUCACUGGGCGUAAAGGGCGCGUAGGUGGCUUUGUAAGUCUGUGGUGAAAGCCCGGGGCUCAACCCCGGGUCUGCCGUGGAUACUGUGAAGCUUGAGUGGUGUAGAGGCAGGUAGAAUAUCGGGUGUAGCCGGUGGAAUGCGUAGAGAUCCGAUAGAAGACCGGUGGCGAAGCGGCCUUGCUUGGGCACUUACUUGACACUUGAAGGCCC